CCUACGGGUGGCAGCAGUGGGGAAUAUUGGGCAAUGGGCGCAAGCCUGACCCAGCAACGCCGCGUGAAGUAAGAAGGCUUUCGGGUUGUAAACUUCUUUUCUCAGGGACGAAGAAAGCGACGGUACCUGAGGAAUAAGCCACGGCCAACUACGUGCCAGCAGCCGCGGUAAUACGUAGGUGGCAAGCGUCAUCCGGAUGUACUGGGUGUAAAGGGGGUGUAGGCGGGGACGCAAGUCAGAUGUGAAAGCCACGGGCUCAACCUGUGGACUGCAUUUGAAACUGUGUUGCUGGAGUACUGGAGAGGCAGACGGAAUUCCUAGUGUAGCGGUGAAAUGCGUAGAUAUUAGGAGGAACACCAGUGGCGAAGGCGGUCUGCUGGACAGCGACUGACGCUGAGGCGCGAAGGCGUGGGGAGCAAACAGGAUUAGAUACCCCAGUAGUC
rnacentral:rRNA from 1 species